CUGGCCUUCACCCUGACUCUUUUUUGUGAAGGACUGUCAGACUCGUAAUGCAGUAUGUUUCCUACCACUUCUUCUGAUCAGAGUUUUCACUGUAGGUGAGAAAUCUGGCCCAGAGUUGACCACCCAGAGCCACAAGGACCAAUGAAAAGCGACCACCCAGAUACUGAUUUUCCACCAGGCUCAAAUCGGAGUUCCGGUAGUAGACUUGCGUUGUCUUGAGACUGUUGAAUGCAGAUCAUCCAUGUAUGCAUUGCAACACGCAAGUACGAAUUCCUGUAUCUUCCGGCUUCCACAGAAAUCUUUUUGUAUAUCGAGUUCUAAGUGCAAUUGUCUAGGGAUUGUGAUUGUUCUGGUGAUCAUUGCUCCUGGAGUGAUGUUGACUCUGCAGGAGGACAUCCAAGAACUCUGCAGAUGGUGGUCUAGAGUGUGUCAUAUGAAUGAGUAUUCAGAUAACCUACAUCAUGGAUUUCUGGUCAACCACUGGAAUCUAUGGACUACCUCAUGCUAUCCUGUAGCCUACAUAUAUUGCCUGUCCUUCGGAAGAAGUAUGUGACAGAUCUUUUUGGGGAGCUCUACACAAAUGUAAAUAAUAGUGGAGGCAUUUUCCAUUUCUGUGACUCUACAAGCAGAUACUUUAGCGCCAACUGUAAAGAAAAAUGGCUCUGAACAUCUAGAAAGCCUCUAAAAAACCUACAACUUGUUCUGUGUUGUAUUUCUGAGUUCUGGGAGAAUGGAAUCAUCUUUUCAAAAUUUGUAGUCUUGCAGAGCCAUGCUGUAACAGAAACGAACUUUUUUGCAUAUUGAAUGUCCAUUGCUGCAUCAGGACUGAAUAAUGCCUCUUCUUGUCGCCCCUAAACAAACGAUUUCUUUUUGAAAUUUUGUAAGAAGAACUUCUAAGCAAGAAGUGGGAAAUACUUCUUUUAUAUUUGAUUUUUUUUUUUAAAAAGUGACAGCUAUGUUAAGCUUCUCAGAGCUUUGAAAAAGCUGGAACUAGAACACGUGAACAGUCACACAUAUAACAUUAUUUCUGCUGUCUACACAAGGAUUUGCCUCUAAAUCACGUUUAUAAGAAGGAAAAAGCAGGAUAUUGAAAUAUAGAUGCAUAAAAAUUAACAAUACACAUUUUCAAAACUUGUGUAUAUUUUUUAUAUACGGAUUCACAGACCUGAAACUUUACAAAAUCCCACCAGCUGAAUAACACUAAGAAUUACAACCCACAUGCCUGCAGUACAGUGAAAUUUCAUGUGUCCAGGACUGCAUUCGUAUAUUAAAUAUUUAAAUGUACAUACAUAUAUAUGCUACGUUGUUGUUUAUUUUUCUCCGGCUAAACUGCACCAAAGACUUUAAAGAAAUCAAGCUAUAGAGUUGCAGAGAACAAAUUCUGCCUACAUCAAUGCGCUAUUUAGCACUGAUGUGCUGCAGAAGGCACAAGAGAAUAUUCUUCCUGCAUCUCCUGAGAAAGCAUCCAUUUGCUAAGUCAUCUCUAAAUGAAGCUUCAGAAUUUAUGAACUUUUAUUAAAGCUGUCUCUGCUUAAUACUGCUUCCACAAUCUGGAAGGGACUUGGACUCCUUGUUGCUGUCAUUCAUUUGGAAUAAGCAUGCUCACACACUGCUGCUUGAGAAAAAAGCCUGGCUGAGAACUGGCUUUUGUCUUUGAUCUAGCAUGAAGGCUUUCCUACUGUGGCUCAGCAGAGUCUCUUUAUUGAAUCCACAAGAGAAGAAAAACUUAGAUGGAGCAGGAAAAGGAAGGCAUCUUUUCCCCUGGGUACUGUACAUUUCCACUUUCGUGAGGCACUGCUCCAUCCUUUUUCUCACAGCCACCAACUCCUUUGUCGGAUAUAAAGGUUCUUGACGUAGUCUGGAGGAGCUGAUGAGCUGUGGAAAAACCAGAACCUUUUUGUGAAAAUAUCUCAGGAAAGAUGGGGAGAACAGUGAUACUUAAAAGAUAAUGGAGAAACAAGAAGAAAGGAGCAUUCAAAUGUUUGAACCCUCUCUGUUAAUAACAAUGUUAAACAUCACAAGUACAUUUUAUGGCUACCUACUCAUGAGGGAAGGUAAAUGUGUUUUGGAAUUUCAUACCCUACUUUGCUGCUCCAGUUAUUUUAUGUUCUGGUCCCUGUGCUACCCAACAGUCUAUUAUAAUUUGUUUUAUUAUUCUAUGGCUUUUGUUGCGCGGCUUGAAAUGAAAUACAGUAUUGGAAAAAGAAAUGCAUUAAACAUACAGCGUUCAGUUAGCAUGCACUUGUUUCCCAUAUGUCUUUGUUAUCGUAUAUGGCAGUCUUUCCCCUCUGCUAUUCAGAAUCCUACAGAAAUCAAAUAUCGAUGGAAAGGAGCUAUCGAAUGCCUGCAGUAGUUAGAGAGGGUUUAAAUUCUUAUGUCCAAUCCAAAUCUUAAUGUAACCUUCACUUUCCAGAAGGAAAUGUUGAAGUCCGUAGGAGCUGUUGCACACAGCACCUCCUUGGAUUCGGCCCUAUAGCAAGCACCAGCAUGUUUCUUCAGAGUUUCCCCUUGUUCUAGGCAGAUUUUUCCUAGUUCUGUCACCCCACUAUGAUUACCUCCCAGAGCUUUUCCUUUAAAUUAAGUAUUUCACAAGAAAAUAACUACUGAAGAUUUUAUUUAGUAGGGUUCUUUUUAAACGGUUGUUCUUACGAGCCGUGUCCUGCUACGCUCUGCUGGCCGAUCCGCUUGCUGCUCUGUUCUUGCUCCCUCUUCUUUGAGCAGUCCUGGGGGGAUCAGCAGCAUGCAGGAUCCCCACGGGAUCCUUGCCACAAGACAGACGCUUGGCUGUAAUAUUUACUAAAUUCACCGAAGGCAGGCAGCGAUAGUGUAUUGGGGUGACCUAUCUCCGUGUGUAUUAGCCUCAUGCUGUAGCUUCCUAGAUUUUUCCAAAUACAGCCUCAGUCCUGGCCCACUUCUGUCAGCUCCCCAUUGCUUCUUCCCCCAAAAUGCUUAGAGGAUUUCUUCUUUGCUGCCUGAAGUUACUGUGGUGCAGGAAAGGGAAGCAGUGAGUGGGGCUCUCCUGAUUUCCUUCUUCACCUUCAAAUAUCAUGCCAUUUAUGGUUUCAGUCCAUUAGAUUCAAACCCAGAAUGGAUAACAGCUACUUUGUCAAGUUAAAAGCCUCACAGCUGGAAUGGCUCACCUGAAGGUGUUGCUAGUGUUCCUCAGCUCUGUGGUCUAUCCACAAUUCACAAUGUGGGCAAACCUGGAUUAAUUGCUGGAAAAAUUAUCCUGUCUUCAGGGCAAUGGGAUUACAGAAAUAACACUAUAAACACAUCCCUUUUUUCCCAGUGGAAAUCAGUUUUUAUAAUGUUAGGCAAAUAUGCCAUCCAAGCAGGAGCCUGGUAUGCUCCAUCACUAAAAACAAAGCAAAAGAGCAAGGGAGAAGUCAGUGCAGGCCUUAUCUGUGCGCACUGUUAAUCUGAUACAGCGAGUCUGUAUAGAGAUAGAUCUCAUUUGAUUUUGGGAGCCACUUUUGGUUUCAUUUUAGCUUGAUUGACUGCUUGAAGUUUAAGAAGUUAAGUCUGAGCACCAAAAGUGGACUGAAAUGAGAAAAACUGUGAAUUAUGGCAAAUAUGGCUACUUUGGUGUAAAUCUGUGUGUGAACCCAUUUGCUUCCCAGUCAAAGUGUGUAAAAUCAAUUUACUGAAAGUCAAUAGCAAGCUGUCAGGAUGGAUGGUUUUCAUUCUCACCUUGGGUCUUGAAGGCUGACCAUUACUCUGUUUCUUCAGAUAUUCUGUCUGACAUAAGCCUUCUAUAUUUAAAGCCUUAAAAAGCAUUAUUUUUAUUUUAUUUUCAUUUCUCUCAAAAUAAAUUGCACAGAAUGAAAUUUCAGAUAGAGAACUGAAAGUCAUUUAAGCUUUUUAUUAAUUCAGCAGUCCUGAAAAAAUAUACUUGGCUUCGUCUGGAGGGCUGUACAGUGGGUGUUGCUUUUGAACCUCUGUGCCUCAAAAUUGAUGUUAUUUUUUAAAUCCUUCAAUGUAAGGCAGUGUUCUACAGACCUGAACUCUGCAUAGUCACAUACUGCUUCAUUGUGCUUUCGUAUUUGUGCGUAAUAGAGAGGCUAUUUGACUGCAGACUUCAAAGCCAUUAUUGCUAUAUUGUAUUUAGUGCACAGAUUACAGUGUGGGCUGUUAUAUUUGAGGUUAAACUUUGGGUGUAUGUCUUCUAAUUGUCAAUUCCUACUGUUGAA